rnacentral:rRNA from 1 species
GCGACCCCAGGUCAGGCGAGGACUACCCGCUGAGUUU